rnacentral:rRNA from 1 species
GAUGAACGCUGGCGGCGCGCCUAACACAUGCAAGUCGAACGGAGUUGUGUUGAAAGCUUGCUGGAUAUACAACUUAGUGGCGGACGGGUGAGUAACACGUGAGUAACCUGCCUUUCAGAGUGGAAUAACGUUUGGAAACGGACGCUAAUACCGCAUGACAUAGUUUCCGGGCAUCCGGAGAUUAUCAAAGAUUUAUCGCUGAAAGAUGGGCUCGCGGCCGAUUAGGUAGUUGGUGAGGAUAAUAGCCCACCAAGCCGACGAUCGGUAGCCGGACUGAGAGGUUGAACGGCCACAUUGGGACUGAGACACGGGCCCAGACUCCUACGGGAGGCAGCAGUGGGGGAUAUUGCACAAUGGAGGGAACUCUGGAUGCAGCGACGCCGCGUGAGGGAAGACGGGUCUUCGGGAUUGGU